rnacentral:lncRNA from 10 species
GUCCUUCUCUCUCUCUCUUUUUUUUUUUUUGAGACAGAGUCUCACCCUGUCACCGAGGCUGGAGUGUAGUGGUGCAAUCUUGGCUCACUGCAACCUCUGCCUCCUGGGUUCAAGUGAUUCUCCUGCCUCAGACUCCUGAGUAGGUGGGAUUACAGGUGUGCACCACCAUGCCAGGCUAAUUUUUGUAUUUUUAGUAGAGACAGCGUUUCGCCAUGUUGGCCAGUCUGGUCUGGGGCUCAUGACCUCAGGUAAUCCGCCCGCCUCGGCCUCCCAAAGUGCUGGGAUUACAGGUGUGAGCCACCACACCCAGCUGGGUCCUUCUCUUGUAUUCUCCAAGUACAUAGACUUGAUCCCAACUCCUCUAGGAGAUCCAGCUUAAAUUCUCAUCUUUAGGGCUUCCCCUGGCCCUGCAGCUCUGGUUCCUACCUGUAUCCCAAAACGUACUGAAUCAAAAUGUUCAGUUUACUCAUCUGUCUCCUCCUGUGAGGAGAUGCACUCCUCACCUCCUUUGAUGGUGCACUCCUAAGGGCGGGAAUCAUGCCUUCUUGAUCUCGACACUCCAGUAUUUAGUUCAGGGUCUGGCACAGUCAAUAGGGAUAGUGAAACCUAACUACAUAGGCCCACAUAACCAUGUGUUACAUUGGCUGGAGUUCCCAGUAAUUAUACAGCCCCUUACCAAUCCUCCCACCUCUCUCCCCACCUCGCAGAUACCUGAUAUUGAGGUGACAGCUGCAAGAAGUCUGGGUGUAGUUCAUUUACCUCCCCACCCCCAUAAUUGGGGAGAACAGGCCAGAAUGUGUGGGAGCCUCACCUCGUGAAUUGUAUGAGGCACUAACUGAAAAUAAAGCCAAGAGGCUGCAAUCCUUUUCCUUCACAGCUUUCCUUACAGAGUCUCUCCCUGUCUUUCUACUUCUCUCUCUACUCUUCUCAUUCCAGCUCAUCUGUUUUGUUUUGUUUUCCGACUCUCCACUUCCUGUGUCCUAUUUCCACUUUUGGAAGCCUGUUUUUAGACACAAGCCUUUCAUUUGCCUUUACUCAAAGGUUUUCUGAAGACUCACUAUCUCUAAGAAAAUAACCUUGAACCAUAAUCUCACAAUUGAGGUUGAGCCAACGUUUGUCACCACUCCCCAUCUUACAUGGGUCCAGUUCAUACAGGACCUCAAUACAUAAGAGCUUCUGUAAAACAGUCAAUCCUGGGGCCCUCAGUGUGGAGUGAUAGGCUUUCGAGGAAAGUGUCAGAAAUCACCAGAAGUCAAAGCUGUGUACCCAAUUGUCCUGAUUUUCCUCAAUAAGUCAAUAGCUUGCAAGAUUGCAUUGCCCUGCUUCUUGCUCGUGCUUGUUCUUGUUUUCCUGGCACAAGUGCCUUUGCUCCUAGAAUGGCCGCUUAUCUCGGCUGACUGCUAUUUGCUAACAAUGGGCUCACUGGGUUGUUUUGAAAAGUCACAUGAAGUUUAUAAUUCUGUCUGAUGCUACCUUGGACUUAUGUGUGCUAAAUAAGCCUCAAACACCAAAACUGCCUUAAAACCUAAACUAAGCUCAACGAAUGACUUCUUCUCAGGUAUGCAGGCACCGGAAGGAACCCAUACACCCUGCCCAGCUAAUUCUACACCUCUUGUCUGUGUUGCUCUUCCACAGUACUGCUAGUUAGACCUUGCACUCUUCUCCAUCUUGAGGCAUUUGGUUCCCUCUACUUGCCCAGUGGCGCUCAGAAUUUCUUGUGGAGCAGCUCAGGUGGUGAGGGAGGGAGGCACGGACACUGCCCCCCAUGUCUCUGCAGGACGGUGGGGAACUGAGGGGUCCCUGACCAGCUGCCUCUCACGGCUUGAUGUGUCACCUGAUGGCUUCUCCCCUGGCUCGCACUGUGGGCCCACACUGUUUGCCAAUCUGCCUUUCUUCCUGCCGGUGCUUUUGCUGGGGGAGAACCACAACCAUCUCCAGUGCUGUUUUACAGCCUCCCACCACUCCACAGAGCCUCUGAAGAGCAUACCUGAAGCCUUGAUUCUGUCCACCUGAUUCCCCUGAAGCUCACCAAAAAGGGAGCUGCUUGUUUAUCCUGCUGUCAGCCAUUUCCCAUCAACGUCUGGCCCAGCGAGCUGUGUUGGGGCCAGCACUGCUUUAGUACCAAUAGUCUGGCCCUCUUCCAGGUACUCAUUGCUAGCGAAUUCAUCUUGCUCUUGAAUGCGAAGUAUG